GGAGGAAGCAGACUGAUGCAGCAGAAGGGUGACCAACAGAGAGAGAGGGAGUGGAACCCAAGCAUAGCUGGGGAGAGGCAAGAGCAAAAGAGUCCCUUUCCUAAGAAUCCUUAAGGUUCAUGUUGUCUGGAGCACCAUUUCCCAAAUGUUCUGAUAGAAAUCCAUAACAGAAGAUGGAAUCUCUGGCGCGGAGGCAGCCACUUCACUAGGAAGGUGAACUAAAGAAUACCUGUGGCCCCUCUUUUCUAGUUAGGUCUGCAUUGCUGGAGAGUCCUCUUCUGCCUCUGGUGUUCCAUCUCCUCUGCUUCUGUUUCUUCAGCAACCAGUUAAUUUUCCUCCUUCCCCUUUGCUUUAUCCCCCCAACACUCCACCACCUUGUUUCCGAGUUGGAUUUAUUCUCUGUAAGAAAAGAGCUGAAGAGUGACCAUGACCCUCGGGAACGCAUUUUAAACAAAAGACUUGUUUGGAACAGAUGUGAUAAAAAAAAAAAAAAACAGCUUUACAACAAAACCCCAGCAGCAACAGGAACCUUUCUGCUGCUCUAACAUCGCCUCCAGCUUCACAGGCAAGGAAGAACACUGCAGAAAGCUUAGAGGCAAAGAAACACCAGGUAUGGGUGCAGAAUAGCUUCAGCUACGGAGAUCUUUGGUUUCUCGAUUAGCUAGAUAAAAGCUCUCCUCUUGUCAGCAAGGCAAACAUACCUGUAAGGAAAGACCUCCUUCAGAUGUCAACCAAGCUGUAUUGCUACUUAGGAAAAAUUGAAAGCGCUGAAAUCUAUAAUGGAACGGUGGAGUUGUUGUGCCCUUUGAAUAUUUAUUUUGAGCGAUUUUGGACUAAAAUAUAACAGAAGCAGACUA